UUUCCGGUUGAUCCCGCCGGACCUGACUGCUAUCGGAUUGAUACUAAGCCAUGUGAGUCAUUGUAGCAAUACAAGGCAGACGGCUCAGUAACACGUAGCCAAUCUAACCUAUGGACGGGGAUAACCUCGGGAAACUGAGGAUAAACCCCGAUAGAUCAUUAUGCCUGGAACGGUUUAUGGUCCAAAUGAUUCGUCGCCGUAGGAUGAGACUGCGGCCUAUCAGCUUGUUGGUGAGGUAAUGGCCCACCAAGGCUAUUACAGGUACGGGCUCUGAGAGGAGAAGCCCGGAGAUGGGUACUGAGACACGGACCCAGGCCCUAUGGGGCGCAGCAGGCGAGAAACCUUUGCAAUGUGCGCAAGCACGACAAGGUUAAUCCGAGUGAUUCCUGCUAAAGGAAUCUUUUGUUAGUCUUAAAAUCACUAUUGAAUAAGGGGUGGGCAAGUUCUGGUGUCAGCCGCCGCGGUAAAACCAGCACCUCAGGUGGUCAGGAGGAUUAUUGGGCCUAAAGCAUCCGUAGCCUGCUCUGUAAGUUUCCGGUUAAAUCCAUUAGCUCAACUAAUGGCCUGCCGGAAAUACUGCAGAGCUAGGAAGUGGGAGAGGUAGACGGUACUCGGUAGGAAGGGGUAAAAUCCUUUGAUCUAUUGAUGACCACCUGUGGCGAAGGCGGUCUACCAGAACACGUUCGACGGUGAGGGAUGAAAGCUGGGGGAGCAAACCGGAUUAGAUACCCGGGUAGUCCCAGCUGUAAACUAUGCAAACUCAGUGAUGCAUUGGCUUGUGGCCAAUGCAGCGUUGCGGGGAAGCCGUUAAGUUUGCCGCCUGGGAAGUACGUACGCAAGUAUGAAACUUAAAGGAAUUGGCGGGGGAGCACCACAAGGGGUGAAGCCUGCGGUUCAAUUGGAGUCAACGCCGGG
rnacentral:rRNA from 1 species